rnacentral:rRNA from 1 species
UACGGAGGGUGCGAGCGUUGUCCGGAAUCAUUGGGCGUAAAGGGCGCGUAGGUGGCCCGGUCAGUCUUUGGUGAAAGCGCGGGGCUCAACCCUGCGUCGGCCAGGGAUACUGCCGCGGCUCGAGCACUGUAGAGGCAGGCGGAAUUCCGGGUGUAGCGGUGGAAUGCGUAGAGAUCCGGAAGAACACCGGUGGCGAAGGCGGCCUGCUGGACCAUAACUGACACUCAGGGACGAAAGCUAGGGGAGCGAAUGGG